rnacentral:tRNA from 1 species
GCGCCCGUAGCUCAGCUGGAUAGAGCAUCGGACUUCUAAUCCGGAGGUCGCAGGUUCGAAUCCUGCCGGGCGCACCA